rnacentral:rRNA from 1 species
UACGUAGGUGGCAAGCGUUGUCCGGAAUUAUUGGGCGUAAAGGGUUCGUAGGCGGUCUUUUAAGUCUGAUGUGAAAGCCCACGGCUUAACCGUGGAAGGUCAUUGGAAACUGGAAGACUUGAGUACAGGAGAGGAAAGUGGAAUUCCUAGUGUAGCGGUGAAAUGCGUAGAUAUUAGGAGGAACACCAGUGGCGAAGGCGGCUUUCUGGCCUGUAACUGACGCUGAUGAACGAAAGCGUGGGGAGCAAACAGGAUUAGAUACCCUGGUAGUCCACGCCGUAAACGUUGAGUGCUAAGUGUCGGGGGAGACCUCGGUGCUGAAGUUAACGCAUUAAGCACUCCGCCUGGGGAGUACGGUCGCAAGACUGAA